CCAGUGAGGGUUUCGCUUUCAGGCUCUCUUAAAAGUGUAUGAGAAUUACCUUUCAGUAUAUGUUGGUCUGGUAUCUGGUGCAUAUGAUGACCAGUUGCAGUGGCCUUGUCUAUGGAGAAAAAUAACCUUCCAAAUACUUGACCAGAAUCCACACAUACAGAAGCGCAUGUCCUCUGAGAAAAGCUUCACGACUGACCCUACUUUGGUUUCUUCCUGUGAGAAUCUGAUUAUUUUUCUCUCAUAACAUAUUACAUGCAGCAUUUUAGUUAAAUGAUGAUCAAUGUUAUUAUUAUGUGUAGUUUUGAAGGGCCUAAAAGCCAUACUGUAUUUUGUUGUAACAGAUGGCAGAAAUGACUGGGACAAUCCUCGAAAUAAUGGAACUCGAGUUGUCAUUGGCAAUGAGACCGUAUAUGUGGGUAUUUUUUGGGGCUAUCAACAUGCCAUAAUGAACGAAGAUCUCACUAAAAGAGAGUUUAUCAAGGGUGAUGACAUCAUAUUUCUCUUCAGCAUGCAAGAUAUCUCAGGGCUAUUUCAAUCUGAGUUUUUACCCUGCCCAAAAGUGACAAUAAUGGAUUUCAACGUUUCUUCUCAUUCAACUGCCCAGCAGGGAUCAUGUGCUACAAGGUGAAUAUCCAUUUAAGCUCUGUUGUAUGCUUAUUCAAAAUACAGGGAAAAAAGUGUUUUUAAAGGUAAACCUACUGAAAAAUGUAACACUAUUAUUAAGAAAUAAGAGAAUCUGCUAUAUUGGCUAAAUAUAAUCAUGACUAAAGUCCAUUGUAAAGGGGGUCACAUGAUGUUGCUAAAAAGAAAAAUAUUUUGUGUAAUAAAAUGUGUUUAUGCGGUUAAAGGUUAAAAAAAAAAACAUUAUUUUCCACAUAAUGUACAUUAUUGUUUCUCCUCUAUGCCCCGCCUUUCUGAAACUCAUUGAUUUUUAUGAAGCUCAUCGGUCUGAAAAGCGAGGUGUAUGCUGAUUAGCCAGCUAUCCAGUGCUUUAUGAUUGACCGAAUGCCUCAAGCAUGUGACAGAAAUGUUACACCCCUUACCAUACUGUGAUGCGUGUCCUGGUCAGAACACCAGCACAACAAGACAAAAACAAUAAAACCCAUCACAAACGAGCCAUUUGUUGCAUCCAGUGGGGAUAUAAUUACUGAUUAUAAUGACUUAUACUGUGUUUUUACAUGUUGCGUUGUAUCGUGUCGCGUAAACAUAAAACCAUGUCUGCAUUUGUGAUUGGAGAAAUGACAAACAACAAGCUCUACUCUACACUGUUCAAAACUCACGUUUGAAUCAUCAGUGCCAAAUUCUUUAAAUAUGGAAACAUAUAGAGUCAGAACAGCCGGCAUUGUAGUCUUCUCUCCCAGGAUCAGGAAACAGUCCUCCAUAAAUUGUGCUGCACACAUCUGAAUAUUUGGGUUGAACUGUUCUGGAACAGUGUUGUAAAUACAACUUAACCACUGAUUUCUAGUUGUGUCCUCUUUUGGAAGGCCAAAAAAAGUAUUUUCGCUUUCACAAUGAAACAGCGUCUCCACAACAUAGUCUAGCAGCAACAGCGAGAAUCAAAGUUAUGCCUUAUUUCUUUGUGUGAACAUUUGGGCGGAGUUAUACAAAUCUUUCCACAUCCUGACAUAGACAUGUGGGGGUGUGUUUAAACGAGGCGUUUUAGGAGGGCGUGGACGAGUAUUAACUUUUAUAGAGAAUAUCUCUUCGGGUUUGAGACUUUAGUCUUUGUAACUUUAGGGAUCUUAUCUAUUCACUAACAGCUUGUAACACUCCAAAGAGAAAGAAAAACUUGAAAUUGCAUCAAAUGACCCCUUUAAGCACAACUUGCAGUAACCAUUAGCUGUGACGGUAUUCACAAUACAGGAAGUCAUCAAGUCUCUAAUUUAUUUAAUAAAAUAAAAUAAAAUAAAAUAAAAUAGAAAAACUAUACUCUUUAACUUUGGCCCUCUAGUUUGGCUUCGGUUCUGCUGUUCUGCAUGGAUGAUUUUUUUUUUUUCCAACCAAUGAUUUCCCAUUAAUAACAAACUAUCAGCUUCAUGCUACCCACAGUCAGAGGUACUUUUCUUUAUAUACAGAAACAGUUAUCUAUAUAUGCAAUUUCCUGUAAUGUUUUUGCAAUCAUUCAUUAAUAACAUUUUGUUUUGUUUUGUUUAAUAACAAAAGCUACAUACGCUCUUUUUAAUAAAGGUUGCAAAAUGUAUUUUUGCAGUGAUGCUAUAGAACGUCCUGGUUACGUAUGUAACCCUCGUUCCCUCGCUGCGGCUGGGGUGAAGGCUGCGCCUCCUGCAAAACCCCUGGGUCAGCACUGCCCCCGUGCAGCUCUUUGAGCACCUUGGCCUGGUAGACCUGAAGGGUGGCCAUGGCGUGCAGGGCAGAAGCGGCCUGACCCGCAGCUCUGUAAGCCUUGGCCACAAGCGUGGAUGAGAACUUGGAGGGAAGCUUGGGACCACCACGCCAUGCGGGGGUGAUUUGAGGACACAGUUGCAUCGCAACAGAGUGCUCCACUGGGGGAAUCCCAGCAUACCCCUUGGCCACUCCGCCAAGAGCUCUUCCCACACCUCAAACAAUCUCAACCACCUCUACAUCACAACCCACUGAGGGGUAAGCCACAAUUUCAUAUGGUCAGAUUUUUGUAGAUUGUGGGUAGAUGUGGGUAUA
rnacentral:lncRNA from 12 species